AAUAAGUUUAUUUUUCAGUUAUUGGAUACACUAUUUGAUUAUUCGUCUUAUUUAUUCUUUUUGCGAUUAAUAUUUUUGUUGUUACUAGACGAUAAAAUAUGAGUAGUAAUUUACACGUGACUAAUUUUCCUAAAUUUUUUUAUAAAUAUUUAAAUGAGACAAAUAGUCAAACUUUGGAUAUAAAUAA
rnacentral:pre_miRNA from 1 species